AUUGAACGCUGGCGGCAUGCCUUACACAUGCAAGUCGAACGGCAGCGGGGGAGAAGCUUGCUUUUCCUGCCGGCGAGUGGCGAACGGGUGAGUAAUACAUCGGAACGUGCCCUGUAGUGGGGGAUAACUAGUCGAAAGAUUAGAUAAUACCGCAUACGACCUGAGGGUGAAAGUGGGGGACCGCAAGGCCUAAUGCUAUAGGAGCGGCCGAUGUCUGAUUAGCUAGUUGGUGGGGUAAAGGCCUACCAAGGCGACGAUCAGUAGCUGGUCUGAGAGGACGAUCAGCCACACUGGGACUGAGACACGGCCCAGACUCCUACGGGAGGCAGCAGUGGGGAAUUUUGGACAAUGGGCGAAAGCCUGAUCCAGCAAUGCCGCGUGUGUGAAGAAGGCCUUCGGGUUGUAAAGCACUUUUGUCCGGAAAGAAAUGGCUCUGGUUAAUACCUGGGGUCGAUGACGGUACCGGAAGAAUAAGGACCGGCUAACUACGUGCCAGCAGCCGCCGUAA
rnacentral:rRNA from 1 species